CAUGGUUGCUUCUUUUUUGCACAUAUGUAAAUCUUGAUUAUAUACAGACUUAUUAUUCAUGUGAAGCAAGACACUGAAGGUCGAUUCAACAAGGAAGUAAUCUGUAGUUUUAACUGCUGUCUGGGCCGACUAUUGUAGCAUUAACGUCUAGAACACUACUUCGUGCAGUGAGGAACACUGAGCGUCAAUCAUGAUAAAAUUAUUUAAGUGAAGCAAGACACUGAAGGUCGAUUCAACAAGGAAGUAAUCUGUAGUUUUAACUGCUGUCUAGGCCGACUAUUGAAGCAUUAACGUCUAGAACACUACUUCGUGCAGUGAGGAACUCUCAGCGUCAAUCAUGAUUAAAUUGUUUAUACUACUUUUCCAAAUAAUGAUAUCAACUGCUGAGUACGAUAGACUUGUGAAGAUGCGUGGAGUUUCCAACGCACAUUAUCAUUUAACUUAAAUUUGUAAAUUAAAAUCCAGAGGCGGUAACACUGAAUGGAUCGUCAAAAUACGCCAUUCCUGGGACAGAUUUUACCCUAACGUGUGACGUACCGGAUGAGGCCACCAGCGCCAGUUUUUAUCGCCGUCCCUUGCAGACUCAAUCCCCACAGGAAGUACAAGUUAUAGGAGAUCAAUGUUACAAAACGGUCAAUGGAAAUCCAGUGCUCUGUACCCCGGAUGUAUGUUCGUGUCAAUCGUCAUCCUUUCAGUACGCCAGUGUUUUUCGGUUGGUGAUAAAUCCUAUCCCUGGAGACCAUCACUCAAUCUGGUUCUGUAGACGUCAGAAUGCUAAUCUGACGAAUGAAUUUGAGGACAGUCCUGACUAUCAGCUGCUUGUUUUAGAACAAGUGACCAGCAUUAGUCACCAGCUCCAGUCCCAACCUACACCAGAACACCAGACCGUUCUCUUUGUGUGUGUAACCAGUCCAUGUCGACCAGCCGCCAGUGUGGUGUGGUCAGUUGGAGGGGUAAACUUCACAUCAUCCAGUACAUCUUCUGUAUCUCCUGCGUUCCUGUCCUACGUAACAGUGAGUAGGCUGACCCUGACACUGACCAGAGCUAUGGACGGACAAUAUGUUGUUUGUUCUGCUUACAAUACGGAUGCCAGCAUUGUCUCGGACACACAGCAGUCUGCCUUGGAUGUACGGUACGGUCCUGCCACAUCCGUGUCUCUGUCUGCGACUGGGGAUACCUUCACGGGAAAUGAGGGGGACACGUUACCGGACAUCACCUGUACAGCGGACUGUAGACCUGACUGUACCUUUGUCUGGACACGACCGGACAACACCAACUUUACUGUCUCACCUGUGUUGUCACUUGGACAACUGGACAGAUCAGAACGAGGAGCAUACGUCUGUACUGCUCGAAAUGAUAUUGGCGAGUCAAACAAAACAUACAGUCUCUAUGUACGCUAUCCUCCAAGUCAGCCAUUGAUCACUCCGUUGUCCGCCAGCUAUCGACUAGGAGUCGACGAAUACUCAGUUCUGCUGUGUAGUUUCACCGAAGGUUUCCCAGCUCCAGCAAGAGUUGAAUGGGUCGCUCGUGGUGUAGAUACCGGGGUGUCGACACCAGCGGUUAUACUCUGGCCACUUCGUCAAUCAGCCAACGGAGAGGAGUAUUUUUGUCACGUGAGGAAUGAAUUUACGGACAUCAAAGGGAUUCAACUCAUCUCACCUACGUAUUAUUUCAACGUUACAUGUAAGUAUUAAUAUAAAAGCAUAUAAAGAAAUAUGCAUUGUAAUGGAUUGUAUGCUUUAGCUUUAAAUAAUGAUUAGCAUUGUUAUAAUCUAUUUGACAUUUUGGUAAUAUAUUAACCAAUUAGGUAAAGGUAAAUCUUCAUUAAUUUUACCUGCAUUUUUUAUACAAAGUAUUGUUUCAUUUAAAUUACAGCUUUCAUCAUCGUAUGAAGCAAUCGUAUAAUGAAAUUACAAAUUUUAUUGAAAUCGAUAAUCACAUUCAUAUUGUUUUAUUUCAGAUCGCACUAGUGUUUUUAUUUACAAUUAAUCUUUGCAGCAUAUUUUACACAUCUAUUUAAAGAACAAAAUGUAUACAGACACAUUCGUGUGUUUACCUUUGUCAUUGUCUCGUUUUGUGUCGUCUCUGUCCAAAUCGUACAAUAUUUGUCUUUGUUUUUGCUUUUUGUCUUUCAUCAAUUUUACAGCAUAACGUCAGUGUAAUGUGUCAGAAACGUUGGUCUCGUGUUAGUGAGAGUGUGGGACGGUGAGCGAGUGUAUAUGAAUUUGAUGAACUGCGUUGGGUUGGGGUUUGUUUUUGUUUUUGUUUUUUCUAAGAUUAGGAGAACUGAUCAAAUGAAUGGCGAUGACUACCACAAUUAAAAAAGUCAUGACAAUACCAAGCACGGGUCGUACAGCAACGAGUUUCCAGGGUAUUCUGAGAUAAAGAAGUUACCUAACAAAAGAAAAUAUACGAGGCCCGUCCCGAUGAAACGAAGAGGAAAGGGCAAUUCUCAGGGACAAGGACUAGAGGGCGUCACAACCUUGUUUCUUUAUAGGAAACACGACCCAGCUUGAUGAUGGUGAAUUAAAUCAGGAUGGAAGCAUCUCCACUUCCGACGGUGUUUCAGCGGUAUCAAUGUGGACAUCACUGAAAUGAAAAAAAAAAAAAAAAAAAAAUACGACGGAUUAUUUUCAGAUAUGAUAUACAACUCAUAUUGUUGGAGUAAAACAUAAAACUAUAUUUUAACAUAUAUCAAAUGACUUUACUAUAAAUAAAUAUAACAAGACUGUGAAAUAAGACGCUACAGUGAAUCAUUGAACAUCAAUAUGCCGGCCCUUUAUCGUCUAUAAAAGGCACAGAAUUGUCAGAAAAUUGAAGUGAAUGUUGAUUUCAUGUUCCUUAUAUCAAUCUUACAAUAACUGUCUCUAUGGUAUUACAUUGCAUAAAGAGAUGUAUCAAAGAUAAUAAAGGAAUAUGAUAUGAA